CCUACGGGUGACAGCAGUGAGGAAUAUUGGUCAAUGGGCGCGAGCCUGAACCAGCCAAGUCGCGUGAGGGAAGACGGUCCUAUGGAUUGUAAACCUCUUUUGUCGGGGAGCAAACGACGCCACGCGUGGCGUUCCGCGAGUACCCGAAGAACAAGCAUCGGCUAACUCCGUGCCAGCAGCCGCGGUAAUACGGAGGAUGCGAGCGUUAUCCGGAUUUAUUGGGUUUAAAGGGUGCGCAGGCGGAAGAUCAAGUCAGCGGUAAAAUUGAGAGGCUCAACCUCUUCGAGCCGUUGAAACUGGUUGGCUGGAGUGAGUGAGAGGUAGGCGGAAGGCGUGGUGUAGGGGUGAAAGGCAUAGAUAGAACGCAGAACUCCGAUGGCGAAGGCAGCAUACCGGCGCUCAACUGACGCUCAUGAACGAAAGUGUGGGUAGCGAACAGGAUUAGAUACCCAAGUAGUC
rnacentral:rRNA from 1 species